AUCAUAUUAAUCUAACAGAAGCUAACAUUUAGUUACUUGAGAAACUAAUUCUGAUCUAACAAACAUAACUCAAAACAGAAAUAAAAGAAACAACAAUGAAACAUUUAAACAGAUCUAAAUGAAAACUGAAGCAUUCACCUAAUGCAAACAAAAAAUUAAAGGAACUGAACCUUUGAUAUAAAUAUUUUGCCAAUAAAAUGAGAAGACAACCUUCUUCAUGAAAUGGAUACAGCUCAACAGUCGUUACUCCAAAACGAAAUAAAAUCAAGCAGCACCAUACGGACUAGAGGGAGACCCAAACGAAAAUCCGGACUAAGACUUCGACCGACGACAAAUCCAAACGCAACUGUUCUGAUUUCUUUUAACUAAUUUCAGCAAAAUUGUUGGCUCGUUUUGGGUGGUGUUAGAGGUGGAAUUCAUGGCUGUUUGCAACUGGUUUUUGCUGCUAUUUCAGAGGUCAUUUUAACUGAAAAACGGAACUAUUUUCAAGCUUGUUUUGAUGCGUUUUUUAACUUAUUUUGAUGGCUGAAAUACUGGAGCUUCAAGGCUUGUUUUCAUGAAUAUUUGGAUCUGGUUUAUUAGGUGGCUUUUGGGGCUGAAAUUUUUGGUUUAACAAAAUAGUAAUGAAGGUGAAACCUAUGGGUCUUUCAUGGUUAUUCGGUAAGGAAGAUGAAGUUGUUUUGAGGAAGAUGAUGGUCCUUUUUCUUCUUUUUUCUUUUAUCUUUUUUACAUUUUG
rnacentral:lncRNA from 1 species